CAGGCAGGCACUCAUUCACUUUGGUCUCUCUCCCGCAGACGGCGCUCUGGAUCACCCUCUGGGGUGACGAGAAGAGCACGGGAUUUGAGUAAAGACAAAUAUGAGAAAAUCAGCCUUCACCCAUGUGCUUCCCAGCUAAAAUGUCUUCCACUGAGUUCCCUAGCAAAACCGAAACCGAAAACAAACAUGGAAGUCCAGAUCAAGUCCUGCCUUUUGCAGGAAGCUUCUUCGAUCACUUCACUACCGUGGCCCCUAUCACCAUUCAUUAAGCACAGCAAAAGCUCUUUGACGAUAA